rnacentral:rRNA from 1 species
GACGAACGCUGGCGGCGUGCUUAACACAUGCAAGUCGAACGGAAAGGCCCUGCUUUUGUGGGGUGCUCGAGUGGCGAACGGGUGAGUAACACGUGAGUAACCUGCCCUUGACUUUGGGAUAACUUCAGGAAACUGGGGCUAAUACCGGAUAGGAGCUCCUGCUGCAUGGUGGGGGUUGGAAAGUUUCGGCGGUUGGGGGUGGACUCGCGGCUUAUCAGCUUGUUGGUGGGGUAGUGGCUUACCAAGGCUUUGACGGGUAGCCGGCCUGAGAGGGUGACCGGCCACAUUGGGACUGAGAUACGGCCCAGACUCCUACGGGAGGCAGCAGUGGGGAAUAUUGCACAAUGGGCGGAAGCCUGAUGCAGCAACGCCGCGUGCGGGAUGACGGCCUUCGGGUGGUAAACCGCUUUCGCCUGUGACGAAGCGUGAGUGACGGUAAUGGGUAAAGAAGCACCGGCUAACUACGG